rnacentral:Y_RNA from 1 species
GGCCAAUCCAAGCAGAGUGGUGUUUACAACUAAUUGAUCACAGCCAGACACAGAUUCGUUUGUUCCUUCUCCACUCCCACUGCUUCACUUGACUAGCCUUGA